rnacentral:lncRNA from 10 species
AGCAAGUAGCUUUUUUUAUUUUGUUUUUGUUUUAAAAUUAAGGUUUUAGCAGCUUUUCAUUAAGUUUAUCAUUAGUUAUUGGAUUAGAAUACUCAUUAUCAUGCUAAAGAAGUAGAUUUGUAUUCCUCUUUAUUUGUUUGUUUGUUUGUUUCAUUAAACUGCUGAUUUUCAAGUGCAGGAUAGAGGCAGCUUCCUACCUAAAUGAAGGACAUGAGCAGUUGUAAACACGAUUCAAUAUUGGAAAUAAUAAUUCCUUUUAUCUGUGAGUAUAUGAGAUAGCAUUGUUUAUAAUUUGUAUGGUUAGAAUUGUUAACCAUAGUC